UACAGAGGUCCCAAGCGUUGUUCGGAUUCAUUGGGCGUAAAGGGUGCGUAGGUGGCGUCGUAAGUCGGGUGUGAAAUCUCGGGGCUUAACUCCGAAACUGCAUUCGAUACUGCGGUGCUUGAGGACUGGAGAGGAGACUGGAACUUCCGGUGGAGCGGUGAAAUGCGUUGAGAUCGGAAGGAACGCCCGUGGCGAAAGCGGGCUCCUGGACCCCAACUGACGCUGAGGCGCGAAAGCCAGGGGAGCGAACGGG
rnacentral:rRNA from 1 species